rnacentral:tRNA from 1 species
UCUCCAUGAACCGAAAUGNUACCAAAGGAAUGGCUACUCCUUUANACCCGGAAUAAACUU